rnacentral:rRNA from 1 species
UACGGGGGGGGCAAGCGUUGUUCGGAAUUACUGGGCGUAAAGGGCUCGUAGGCGGCCAACUAAGUCAGACGUGAAAUCCCUCGGCUUAACCGGGGAACUGCGUCUGAUACUGGAUGGCUUGAGUUUGGGAGAGGGAUGCGGAAUUCCAGGUGUAGCGGUGAAAUGCGUAGAUAUCUGGAGGAACACCGGUGGCGAAGGCGGCAUCCUGGACCGACACUGACGCUGAGGAGCGAAAGCCAGGGGAGCGAACGGG